AAACAGGAUCGAAAACCUGUUUCUCUGAGACGAACGGUUGUCAUUGUCUCUGUGUUUUUGAAGAUUAUGCUAAGAAGUUUUAGAAAUGGACAAAAACUGUAAUAGCAGCAACAACAGGUCAUGCUCACCUUGUUGGGUCUCUUAAACCUAAGCGUUUUGCUAUUUUUUCAAUCAUGAGUGCCCCAAAAAAGCGAUCUUUAGUUCUAAAGAUCUCCAAACCUCUUGCUGAAACUGUGACCUUCCAUGAGCUGCAUCAGGACGUAAAACUUUAAUGGCCACUGGUGUAUGAUCCAGAUAGGACCUGUAAACAGGCCCAUAACCUCCUUCUCCAAUCUUGAGUGAGUUUGAAAACUCAUCUGUUGCUGCUUCAAUCUCCUCAAUCGUGUAUUUUCGAUAUCGAAGAUCACUGUUUGCAAUGGAUGCUAGUGCCUUAUUCUUCUCCUGGAAUUCCUUUUGAGCUAUCAUUUCUGCAUUUAGUCUUUUUUGUAAUUCCAAUUCGGCGAUCCUUUGAGAUGAUUCAGCUGCCUCAAUGGCUGCUUUACACUUAGCUCUCUCCUUUGCUACAAGUUGCAAGGCAGCUUCCUCUGCUAAUCGCACUCCUUCUGAUCUAUGUUGUUCUUCCAAUUUCCAAUGAUGAAGUUCCCUGGCCUGUAAUGAAAUUUCAUCAGAAUUCAUCACAUUACAGCUCAACUCAAGGUUUCAUUUUCAAUUCAAUGUUUCCAUUGGUGCUUUUGGUUGGAGAUUUUGGAUAUUUUGAGCUAUUUGUUUAUUUUGACUUUCAAGUUUGAGUAACACAUAAUGAGCUUCCAGUCUGAAGAGAAUGAAAAGAGAGCUUGAAUGAUGGAAUGAUGGAACGCCUCUAAAUAUAUUUUUAAAUAUACUGAUAAAUUCAUUAUGAAAGAUGGACUUUUGUACCAUAGAAUUAACAAAUUUAGACUCUUGUCAAAGAAGGUUUCAACUGUCAGUACCUUCUGUUUUGCUGUUAGUGCUUCUCUGCAGGCUGAGCUAUACAUGUCCAUUGUUUGCUUGAGCUCUAGUCUGAGCCUCCGCAUCUCAGAUUCCAUGUCGUCCUAUAAAGUUUGAAUGAAGCAUACAUUAUAUUUCUGUUUUCUGUUUCUCUAAUGUGAACCAUUCUAAGUUACAUGAGUGUAUGCCUCACUUUUGCCCUAAUGUUUAUUGUUUGUCUCCCUGUCAACCUGCCUUCUUCCCAUGAUUCACAGAACUUUUGUUUGUUAUGAAUGAUUAUGUUUCUAUAGGUAAUCAUAUGACUGCUAAUGGACAUUACUUUUUUUGAAAAUGUAUGGAAAAACAAAUGUAAAAGCAUUAUAAAGGAAAGAUGAUGGGCAUGGAGAGAAAAUUAUUAGCUUCUGGGAGAAAUCUAUUGGGACAAGCCAACCAGAACCUGCCCCUUGAUUGUCAGGAAACACACAGUUCAAUCAGGAUCAAACACAAAUCGAUGCAUGUUGGUGGGUGUUUAUGCAUGCAUUAACUAUGCCUUCCCUGGGACUUUAUGUUGUUACCAUGUUCUGUGAAGACGACCAUGAUGUGUUGCCACUUUCUUGUGAGGUUGAUGAGAAAUUAUACUGUGAACUUGCAUCUAUUGAUUUGUUUCCUGAGUACAAUGACCCAAAGGAUCUAUAGUCAUAAUCCGAGCCAUUUGAAAGCCGAGGUGUCAUUCCAGUUUCGAAAGCGUUUGAAAGCCGAGGUGUCAUUCCAGUUUCAAAAGCAUCGUAGAUAGCAGGAAAUGUGUGAUCAAUGCUUGGCCUUCCACUGCUUACAAAUGAUAUGUCAGAAUCUGGAGUGGAGGGCUCAUAUUUGGCGAUUCCACCUCUUCUAGUGAAUGGUGACCUGUUUCGGUGGUUAUCAGGCCUUGCAGGGUAUAUGGUGACCUCUCUGGUACUGUAAAAGAUCGAUACACCUCUAAUGAGAAACGACAAAGCCAUAUAAAGUGGUGUAAAGAACAGAAUGCUUACUAGAGAGGCAGACCUCUGGGACCUAGGCUAGACUUGAAAAGGGUUUCAACUGUAUCCCUGCUCUGCAUUUGAGUUUGAAUGGAGUGUUUUGGAGGUAGUGGACCACUAGCAGAUCGCACCGAUGAGAUCUUUCCUUUGCUGAUGACAUAUACAGAGCAGAAGCCUGGCGCUCCUUUGGACACAUUACCUGGAAUAUCUGUGGUCUUGAAUUUUCUGUGGGGAAGAAAAACAUAAUUGGUAUGAUAUCAAAAUUCAUUAUAUCUUAGAGGAUGAGAUGUGGCAUUUUAUGAAAUCAGAUGGAAAUCCGAAGUUGCUUGAACCUCGUAAACAGAAUUAGAUGGAACAUUGUCCUGGCAGUUAUCCAUCUAUUUCUUGGUUUGUUCCAGAUUUGAGAAAUCUGAAAACCAAACCAACAAUUGCAAGCUCUAUGUAUCAACUUAGCCCAGGGAAAUAGACUUAUUGUCUUAAUCUAAUGUCUAUUUGUCUUGUAAAUAAA